AUUGAACGCUGGCGGCAUGCCUUACACAUGCAAGUCGAACGGUAACAGGUCUUCGGAUGCUGACGAGUGGCGAACGGGUGAGUAAUGCAUCGGAACGUGCCCAGUCGUGGGGGAUAACUGCUCGAAAGAGCAGCUAAUACCGCAUACGACCUGAGGGUGAAAGCGGGGGACCGUAAGGCCUCGCGCGAUUGGAGAGGCCGAUGUCAGAUUAGCUAGUUGGUGGGGUAAAGGCCUACCAAGGCAACGAUCUGUAGUUGGUCUGAGAGGACGACGAGCCACACUGGGACUGAGACACCGCCCAGACUCCUACGGGAGGCAGCAGUGGGGAAUUUUGGACAAUGGGCGCAAGCCGGAUCCAGCAAUGCCGCGUGCAGGAGGAAGGCCUUCGGGUUGUAAACUGCUUUUGUCAGGGAAGAAAUCCUCUGGGUUAAUACCUCGGGGGGAUGACGGUACCUGAAGAAUAAGCACCGGCUAACUACGUGCCAGCCGCCGCAGUAAGAC
rnacentral:rRNA from 1 species